AUUGAACGCUGGCGGAAUGCUUUACACAUGCAAGUCGAACGGCAGCACGGACUUCGGUCUGGUGGCGAGUGGCGAACGGGUGAGUAAUACAUCGGAACGUGCCCAGUCGUGGGGGAUAACGUAGCGAAAGCUACGCUAAUACCGCAUACGAUCUACGGAUGAAAGCGGGGGAUCGCAAGACCUCGCGCGAUUGGAGCGGCCGAUGGCAGAUUAGGUAGUUGGUGGGGUAAAGGCUCACCAAGCCGACGAUCUGUAGCUGGUCUGAGAGGACGACCAGCCACACUGGGACUGAGACACGGCCCAGACUCCUACGGGAGGCAGCAGUGGGGAACUUUGGACAAUGGGCGCAAGCCUGAUCCAGCCAUUCCGCGUGCAGGAUGAAGGCCCUCGGGUUGUAAACUGCUUUUGUACGGAACGAAAAGGCUCUGGUUAAUACCCGGGGCUCAUGACGGUACCGUAAGAAUAAGCACCGGCUAACUACGUGCCAGCCGCCGCGGUAACAC
rnacentral:rRNA from 1 species